GAUGAACGCUUUCUUCUUUCCUAAUACAUGCAAGUCGAGCGAACGGACGAGAAGCUUGCUUCUCCGAUGUUAGCGGCGGACGGGUGAGUAACACGUGGAUAACCUACCUAUAAGACUGGGAUAACUUCGGGAAACCGGAUCUAAUACCGGAUGAUAUUUUGAACCGCAUGGUUCAAAAGUGAAAGACGGUCUUGCUGUCACUUAUAGAUGGAUCCGCGCUGCAUUAGCUAGUUGGUGAGGUAACGGCUUACCAAGGCAACGAUGCAUAGCCGACCUGAGAGGGUGAUCGGCCACACUGGAACUGAGACACGGUCCAGACUCCUACGGGAGGCAGCAGUAGGGAAUCUUCCGCAAUGGGCGAAAGCCUGACGGAGCAACGCCGCGUGAGUGAUGAAGGUCUUCGGAUCGUAAAACUCUGUUAUUAGGGAAGAACAUAUGUGUAAGUAACUGUGCACAUCUUGACGGUACCUAAUCAGAAAGCCACGGCUAACUACGUG
rnacentral:rRNA from 1 species